rnacentral:lncRNA from 1 species
ACACGCUGUGCCAUAAGUUCAUUUUUCGUAUCAAAAUUGGACUAAUUUGGGAAUUAGAAACUACAUUAUCCGGCUCAGUUUAAAAACAACAUAUGUACCAUUAGUUUCCCUAUGCACAUACGUAGUUUAACAGAUGAGACAGAACUAGUAGCUCCUAACUGCUAAAUAUCGUCAAAUUAUCGUGGACUUUUUAGAUGCCGCUUCUUUUCUAAUUCAGAUUGGCGUUGAUGCAUGGGAUAUUUUGUUUUCUUCCGUUGCUAUAGUUUCGAAUAUAACAAUGAUACAAAGUUGCUCUACAGUGACAAAUAUAUUACACCGAAAAACGCGUGCUUGAAAUUGAAAAUUUCAAAUACUUCUUGUCUGAUGUCAGACUCGGAUAGUAACCGUUCUGAUUCGGCGCUAGACCAAGAAUUCCUCUUUUACUUGUCUCUUGCCGAUAAACUCGUUCGUCACAAAGAUUUGAAGCGGUGUCAAAAAUGGUUUGAAAAGUUGUGCAGCAAACGUUACACCAGCCGCGAGGCCAAAAAGCGCCGAAAUAAUUACUUGAUGCGGCUCCUAAUCGCUCUCCAUAGAAACCGCUUAGAGACUCCUAUCGACCAUUCACCCCCCGCAGGAGUUUUAUCCUCCCCUGAAGAGGUGUUCCCAGAAGCAAUGCCGGAGACGGAGAGAGCGGAUGGUUUCUCAGAUCGGACGGAUAGCACAUACACCGUGAGCAAGCCGCUUUAUAUACAGGGUGAUGUUUGCGAUAGCUUAGAUACGUCUGUUGAAAAGGAAAGGAACACCGAAUUAGAGGACAGCGCUUUUCAGAGCUCAAAAAUUGAAUCCUCUGCGAGUGAAUCUAGAAUCUUCAGCAAUCGGUCCGGAGAAAUCAGUGAAAGGUCGGCUGAAUCUACAAAAACGCGUGUUAAAAUUCGGAAGAAAUUAACUCGGAAAAGGUCAAAAUCAGUUCCUUCAAAGCUCCUUUUCGAUACUUCAAGAAAACUUCGCGGCGGCACCUCCGACCUACCUGCGCCACAGGAAUAUUGCGCGUCUAGCGAGCGCCACGCUAAAAAUUUAGUUUCGAAUUUUUUUGAGUACGCUUUGCCGACAUAUUUCGACGAGCCACAUCUAGUGGUACAACAUGAGAGCCAAUUUGAAAAUGACGUAGAGUCUGAAUUUUCUGUGAGGAAAGUCGGGAAUGCCGACGAAACAACGAUGUUGGACGAGUGUACGCCAGAUGAAGUAAAGAAAACUCUUUUCCAUUCCCAGUCUACAACAAAUAAAAGCGCUUGCGAGACGAAUAAUGGUAACUCCCAGUCAAUGACAUCACUUAAGCUGCCUGAAAAUUUAAAGAUCGUGAGUAAAAAACGAGUAUUUCAAGAAUUGGGCGACCAGUUUCCUCAACCCUCUGGAGUGUCAAAUCAGGGUGAAAGCUCGUGUGAUAGGGGAACUGACCUGACUCGUUUAUUAAAAACUGUUGGUGUCUGUGAUGGUUUAUUUUUGUCCGAAACCGCUCGCGACCAGACCGGUGACAUUCAGAAAUCCACUGAUUGUGAGACUCGACUAAACUCUAACCGCCUGGACGAGACAUAUCCUCUAAAACGUGAUGUACAGUAUGAUGAGCGUGGAGAGAAAUUUGACGGUGUCAGUAAAGAUCUUUUCGAGCCCAUUCGAAAUCUGGCCGGAGGCUACGAUGGACCAUUUGUGGUGGGGGAGGACGAAUUAUUUGCAGAGAAUUGGUCAUCUAAAAAUCGUGCGGAAAAAAUUGAAAAACCCUCUGUCCGAGGAGGAAUUUUGAAAAAUCGAUUCAUGAAACAACCUUCAACUACUAUGGGGGACAUUUUGAAAGAAUUGACUCACUCUCCAGUCACUGAACAUUUAAGAUCUAAGAGUAUUCCAGCAAUGAGAGAUUCUGUGGUAUCUGAUCACCAUGCCAAAAACUCACAGGCGGAGAAUGCCGGAGACAUCUUCAACGAUCUUUAUCAAAUGUAUCCAAAGUCGGUGGUAGACAAACUCCUACGGCUAUGGAAUAUUGAGAGGCAACGGGUGAUAGCGGAUUUCAAAAAGAUGCACCAACAAAGGAUCGAAAAAAUGGAACGAGCCGCCAAACAGGAACUUCAGGAAAAAGUUCGCAGUAUCAAGAGCGGAAAAGAAACGCUGGUCAAGUUGUGGGAGUGCAAAGAACGAAUCGAUGGGUUCAUGAAAGCUUCGAGAUUUCCCAGCGGAGGCGAGGAGCAGCAGAGGCAGCUCAUGGAGGCGCUGCGUGUCGAAAUCGCCGAGGAGAGGGCCAAACUCAAGACAGAGUCGGAUUUGAAUACCCAGUUAAAGGUGGGGCUCGCCAAAGCGACCUUGGAAAAAGAAGAGCAGGACGCAAACUUUACCGCGAUGAAAGACGAGCUCAGAAAUCUCGCCGAACAAUUGGGCGAUGUCUUGGCGGCGAUUUGCGAUGAGUAUGAGACGCAGCACAUUGCGUUGAAUAAGAAUAUUUUAGGGUGGCUCGACUCGAAGCCGGAGGUCAGCAAUGCGUAG